AUUGAACGCUGGCGGCAGGCCUAACACAUGCAAGUCGAGCGAGCGGCGGACGGGUGAGUAAUGUAUGGGGACUGCCCGAUAGAGGGGGAUAACUACUGGAAACGGUGGCUAAUAACGCAUACUAUCGGAUAACCCAUAUGGGAUUAGCUAGUAGGUGGGGUAAAGGCUCACCUGGGCGACGAUCUCUAGCUGGUCUGAGAGGAUGAGCAGCCACACUGUGACUGAGACACGGCGCAGAUUCUUACGGAGGCAGCAGUCGGGAAUAUUGCACAAUGGGCCAAAGCCUGAUGCAGCCAUGCCGUGGGUAUGAAGAAGGCCUGAGGGUUGUAAAGUACUUUCAGCGUGGAGGCGUUAUCCGCAGAAGAAGCACCGGCUAACUCCGUGCCAGCAGCCGCGGUAAUAC
rnacentral:rRNA from 1 species